rnacentral:rRNA from 1 species
GACGAACGCUGGCGGCGCGCCUAACACAUGCAAGUCGAACGGAGCUGCGAGAAGCUUGCUUUUCUUAGCUUAGUGGCGAACGGGUGAGUAACGCGUGAGUAACCUGCCCUGGAGUGGGGGACAACAGUUGGAAACGACUGCUAAUACCGCAUAAGCCCACGAUCCGGCAUCGGAUUGAGGGAAAAGGAUUUAUUCGCUUCAGGAUGGACUCGCGUCCAAUUAGCUAGUUGGUGAGGUAACGGCCCACCAAGGCGAGGAUUGGUAGCCGGACUGGGCGGUUGAACGGCCACAAUGGGACUGAGACACGGCCCAGACUCCUACGGGAGGGAGGAGUGGGGGAUAGUGCACAAUGGGGCAAACCCUGAUGCAGCGACGCCGCGUGGAGGAAGAAGGUUUUCGGAUUGUAAACUCCUGUCGUUAGGGACGAUAAUGACGGUACCUAACAAGAAAGCACCGGCUAACUACGUG